GCUCCUGGCUCAGGAUGAACGCUAGCUACAGGCUUAACACAUGCAAGUCGAGGGGCAGCAUGGUCUUAGCUUGCUAAGGCCGAUGGCGACCGGCGCACGGGUGAGUAACACGUAUCCAACCUGCCGUCUACUCUUGGACAGCCUUCUGAAAGGAAGAUUAAUACAAGAUGGCACCAUGAGUCCGCAUGUUCACAUGAUUAAAGGUAUUCCGGUAGACGAUGGGGAUGCG
rnacentral:rRNA from 1 species